AGCAAUGACCCACAUAUGUUUCCAAAUUUAAUCCCUUUCUUUGCACAAACUUUUAGAGCUGAAUUAAGCCUGGUGAUUGGCCUAGUUGUCCCUCCUAAUUUUAAAAAUAAUAGAACUAUGGUUCCAAUAGUUAAAGGACUUAUCCAGGACCAUCAAUUUUAUUGUUAAGCAGAUUGGCACUAGAACCAGUUACCUGACUCCAAGACUAUUUCCUUCCACUUUGUUUGAAAAUGUGUAUACAGAACAUAAGGCAAAUAAUACAGUUGGCCUUCCAAAUCCAUGCGUCUUACAACCACAGAUUCAAUCAAUCACAGAUCAAAAAUAUUCCAUUCCCCCGCCCUCAUUUUUUCAUGAAGUUCCAAAAAGCAAAACUUGAAAUUGCUGCAUGCUGGCAACUAUUUACGUAGCAUUCACAUUGUAUUAGAUAUUAUAAGUUAUCUAAAUAUGACCUAAAAGACAUGGGAGGAUGAGCAUAGGCUAUAUGUAAAUACUACACCGUUUUAUAUAGGGGACUGGAAUAUCCCCAGGGGUCCUAAAACCAAUCCCUCACAGAUAACUGAUGCCUGGACUGUUCUAUGCUAUGUUAGCUAACACAUAAGUUAUUACUGCUCCUUUGCCAUAGUAUUGAGACUCUAAAUAUGAGGGUAGUUCUGAAGUCACUUGAUAGCAUUUUUACCUAAUGUCCCAUCUUAAAAAGUCAAAAUUAAUUUUUCACUUUCUCACCUAUUGGGAAGCACAUCAACAUAGCAGAAACAUUCCUCUACUGUUAGUACGUAUAUUCCUGCUAAGUAUUGAAAAAUACUCUUCUGGAUUUUGAGAUAAUUUGAUAUGGCAUAAUUUUGUUGUGGUCUCCAAAUUGCCCCUCAUUAUCAUACCCUACCUUUUUCCUGAAAGAGAACUCCACCAGCGUCCUCAAGAUCUAUCCGUUCACCACGUGCGUGGCUGUACAACAGUGGCUGUUAUUGUCACUUUCCCCUCAAGACCUCCCUCAAGUUCAUGCUCUUGCUUUGAUUACUCAUGUCUUAGGCUUGCUUUCCUCAGAUCUCAUCUCUCUAUUGUGGCUUUGAAAGUGGUCCCCUCAUAGACGUUGACGACAGACUGGAUUGGCAAGUGGGUUAUGCCCUUGUGGAAAGCAGUGCAGGGGCCAGGGUGGGGGGAUGUAAGUGGGGUUAGGUUGGAAGAAAGAGAGAGAGUGCUCUAGAGAGUUACAGUUAUAUACAUUAGAUUUCACAUGCCAGGGUCUAAAGGAUCAUCCCUGAAAAGAAAAUAAAUCCGUGUGAUUAUUUUUCUGUGUUAGUUGUGAUGCUCUGCACUUAUAUAUCAAAAGAGAAAGGAAGAAGUAAUCUUAGGUUGACAAAUAAGCCUUUUGCAUUCCGAUCCAGAAGUGUCUGUUAAACACUGAAUUAUCCCGUAGCCUAAAUACUAAAAUUCUAAAAGAAAAUAUGAGGAGUUUUUCCUUGUUGAAAACCACCUGUAUUAUUCACCAUGAAAUUUUUAAAGUAAUAACUCAUAUACAUUUAUGUUUUACUUUAUUUUCAUUUUGUUUAAGGUAAUCAUUUCUAGAAUCUGAUCGAUAACUCAAAAUUAUCUUAAGAAGGUACACACACACACACACACACACACAUACACACACCUACACACACACACCUCGGUGUUUUAUUUAAUAGAAAUUCCCAAUCAGGUCAUCCUAGUUCAUUGGCAUCUGAUUCCUGUCUCCCUUGCCCUUUAAUUAUUAUUUCUUUUCUCUUUAAAAAAAGAAAAAGAAAAAAGUAUAACCAUAGUUAUUGCUACUUUUAACCAAAAUUCUCCCUUAUAUGUAUAGUAUUCUUUAAAAUUGCUUUUUCUCUGUAUUUUUGCUGCUUAUACUACUAUUACAGGCUUUCUUUAUUGAAAACAGAAGUAUAUAAUAUACAUUGUUUGACACUAAAAAGCAUGACUCAUUUCUGCAAAGGUUAGACAAAUGAGCAUCCGUCAGAUAUAUUGGGAGAUUUUAGCUUGAGUAUUUGUGUCUUUUAAUGGUUUUGUUAUCAGCUACCUUUUUGAAGUUCAUUUCUAUAUAACCCUUACCCUUAAGUAAUCUUGUAUAUUUCAAAACUAUUAGUAAAUAAAACUUUAGAUGUUAUUUAGUCAAAGGAAAAUUUCCUACUUUAGAUCUUAAAAUAAAUCAAUAUAAAUUCUUUCUCUUAAAAUAGACUGGAAUGAAAAUAUUGGGACCCUGUGAUCUGUUAUUCCAUACACUUUUCAUGGGACAGUGUAAUUCAGUACUGUCCAAUAAAACUUUCUUCACGGUUGAAAAGUUUUAUAGUUGCAUUGUCCAAAAUGGUAACUACCAGUCACAGGUGCUCCUGGAUAUGUGAAAUAUAGUUAAGGCAACAGAGGAACCGAGUUUUUACCUUAUUUAAUUUUAAUUUGUUAUGUACAUGUUGUUGGUUGAAAAGUACAGAUAAAAUAAAACAAAAUAUGCAAGUAAUAAUAAACAAUAUAUUCUGCACAUCCAUGAAUUUUGAGUCAAAGUUUGAACUGUCGAUCACUUUGUCCUUCAUCUUCCUUACAAGUGCUUUUAAGUGCAACUCCCAUAACUCUCAUAACAGUGAGUUCAAAUGGCCUUUCCAAGAAAUGAUCCUUGCCUUAAUAGUAAGGUAGAAGACAGGUCGUAUUAAAGUAUUUUAGAGUAGUUAUUGCUUCCUUUAAUUUAAUAAUACAUCAUUUGAUAUAGAUCCAGAUGUAUCGUAGGUAUUUUUUUAAGUUAAUAGAACAAAACUCAAAUAACAUCUAAAAAUAAUUGAUCUAGGAAGACUGCACUGCAUUGCUUCUUCAAAUUAAAUAUAAAAUACAUUGAAAUUUUUAUUUUGUAAAUAGUUUGGCUGUAGUCAGAGUGUCCUUUAGGAAUGUUUUAGUAUUGAUGGAUAGACGUUUAGAAUAAGAAGAGACCUUAAUCUUGUGUCUAUGACAGCCAUAGUUGAACUGAUACAUCUUCUUUCAAAUAAAUAUUGAUUUAAUCAGGGCUACAUUCCUGUUGGCUCAAAGGUGGUCUUGAUAAAAAGCCUGGGCACUGGGCAACUGACUAACUCAGAUCCAGACAUAAAUAUUUUAAAUGCAUGGCCAUUCGUUUAUAAUUAUUAUUUUUCUUCAAACCUUUCUUCUUUAUCUUAUAACUCCCUUGGUUAAUGUUUUUAUGCUUUCUGUUAAGUUAAAUAAUGUGUGUGUCUUCCCUGUAUGUAACAUUCAGAGACGGCAUGGAAUAGGAAAAAACAAAAGUGGUAUUUGCAUCUGUUGUUUCCGAUUCACAGAGCUGGGAGUGAGGUGCUUAAGCUGACUGUCCACAGAGCUAAGAUAUCAGUAGGCAGUUUGCUGUAAGCACAUGUUCAAUUAUUAAAAUAGUCGACAUUUUAUGUCCGAUAGCCAUGGCAAGGUCACAACAUUAAUUUAUCCAGAGUAUUGUGGGCAACUGUC
rnacentral:lncRNA from 1 species